CCCUUAGAUGUUCUGGGCUGCACGCGCGCUACACUGAAGCUAUCAACACGUUUUCCCUCCCUGAGAAGGGCGGGUAACCUUUUGAAUCAGCUUCGUGGUAGGGAUCGGGGCUUGCAAUUGUUCCCCGUGAACCAGGAAUUCCUAGUAGACGCGAGUCAUAAGCUCGCAUCGAUUAAGUCCCUGCCCUUUGUACACACCGCCCGUCGCUACUACCGAUUGAACGUUUUAGUGAGGCAUUUGGACCGACGCACCUCAGUUUAACCGCUGGUUUGUGUUGGAAAGACUUCCAAACUUGAGCGUUUAGAGGAAGUAAAAGUCGUAACA
rnacentral:rRNA from 1 species